AAUUGACGGGGCCCGCACAAGCGGAGGAACAUGUGGUUUAAUUCGAUGAUACGCGAGGAACCUUACCUGGGCUUAAAUGGGGAGUGACAGCUGUCGAAAGAUGGUUUUCUUCGGACACUCUUCAAGGUGCUGCAUGGUUGUCGUCAGCUCGUGCCGUGAGGUGUCGGGUUAAGUCCCAUAACGAGCGCAACCCUUACCGUUAGUUACCAUCAGGUUAAGCUGGGGACUCUAGCGGGACUGCCACCGUAAGGUGAGAGGAAGUGGGGAUGACGUCAAAUCAGCACGGCCCUUAUGUCCAGGGCUACACACGUGUUACAAUGGCCAGUACAAAGGGCAGCUACCGGGUGACCGGAUGCUAAUCUCUAAAGCUGGUCUCAGUUCGGAUCGAAGUCUGCAACCCGACUUCGUGAAGCUGGAUUCGCUAGUAAUCGCGCAUCAGCCAUGGCGCGGUGAAUACGUUCCCGGGCCUU
rnacentral:rRNA from 1 species